UACGUAGGGGGCAAGCGUUGUCCGGAUUUAUUGGGCGUAAAGAGCGUGUAGGCGGCCAGACAGGUCCGUUGUGAAAACUCGAGGCUCAACCUCGAGAUGGCGAUGGAAACCGUCUGGCUAGAGUCCGGAAGAGGAGUGUGGAAUUCCUGGUGUAGCGGUGAAAUGCGCAGAUAUCAGGAAGAACACCUAUGGCGAAGGCAGCACUCUGGGACGGUACUGACGCUGAGACGCGAAAGCGUGGGGAGCGAACAGG
rnacentral:rRNA from 1 species